AAAACUUAUUCCAGUCCCUUUCUUCUGGAUUCUGGGGAAGCCCGAACUUCCCCCACUCAUUCUCCCUUCUUGUUACGUUUAUCCUAUUUUGUUGAUAUGAUUAAUAAUAGGACACCAAUUUCUGUUGUACGCGAUCAAAAUUUGUACAGAGCGAAUCGAUCCCAGCCCCAAAAACUUACAAUCUGUUCUCAACCAACAUCAUCCGCUACCACCACCUUCGGCCCGAGUCCCCAAUAGCACCAAUGUACUCCGGAAGACACGAUUUGACUUAAUCGAAUGUUCAAGGUCUCGGGUCAUAUACCAACAAGUAGUAAAAUCGGACCCUUUUGAUAGCACCACUGUGCUCGCCCGGACAAGACGGUCCGGAACAUCAAAAACAGACGCCAUCUGAUGUUCACACGCGCCCUCACAGUGCCACCUACCUAUCGCGCGCGUGAGAUUACUCGCACGCACGCGCCGAGGAGCUGAAGACGACGCGUGGAUCCCGUAGCACAUAUGCACGCGCCACGUUCAUAUGCCACAUUGUCUAAACGUCAGCACUGACCACGUAAGCAGGGGGUAUAUUAAAAUUACACUUUCAACCCUGAACUUUUGUGAAAGUACAGUUUAGUCCCUGUAUUCUGAGAUAAAUUAUGAUUUAGGUCCCUUAUAGUUUCUGAAAUGACAGUUUGGCCCCAGAUCUCUAAAAUAUAAAUUCAAUGGGAUAAUUUUGAAAAAUUUGAGAUUAGUGGGUAAACAUUUCGAAAUUUCAGAUUAGUAAGUUCAAGUUGGAGAAAUGCGAUCAGUGGGAAAAAACUUUUUUUUUAACGGAAUUGCAGUCGUGAAAUUUUUCUUUUCCAAAAAUUCAGAUCAGUGGGUGAAUCUAUUCGAAAGGGCAGAUCAGUGGGUAAACAUUUUAUAAAUUUCAAAUCAGUGGAAUUAAUUUGGAACAUUUUUAAAUCAGUUGAAAGAUUUCUGAACUUAUAGUUGGUUAUAAUUGGGCUCUUUUAGCCUUUUGAGAAUGAGAUUGUAGAUGUAUCCUGAUGAAGCUCCAACCUUUGAUGGUCGCCCCGUAAAAUACUUUUAUUGAGGGUUAAUGAGAUGAUUAUUUUUGAAUAUAAAGUUGUCUGAUGAUAGAAAAAGCCGGUUGCUAGGCUGAAAGUAAUCAGCCAAGCUAAGAUUCUUUUGGCAGAGCACGGAGGCUUCAACGGCGGACAAAAACCCAUCUAUGAGUGGAAAUGAGAUGAUUAGAAAAGUCUUGAGUGGCCAUACAUUUACUAUUCCUAUGAAACAGAAGAGAGAUUUUUAGAAAGCAGCAGAGUAGGAGAAAGAGAAAUCAGUUUGGUGCAAUUUCUUGCGCAAAUUGAGAAAAUUUCAAAAACGAGUUAUAUAAUUGAUUUUGAUGACACUCCUUCGAGUUCAGUUUGUGGAUGAAUCUGAUUUGUCUAUAGAAAACUUGGACAGUUGCAUAGUGAGCUUAGAGACCUUAACAAGACCAGGAUAAAUCGCCUGAAUCAUGUGUUGGAUCAUAUUGAAAGACAGUACAUUCACUGUGCAAAGGUAUUGGUCUUGAUUUCGCAGAAGGAAAAACGGUGACUAAAGUUAUUCCUUUGGGUUGUUAAUUUGAAGGAAGGAAGAAGCCUGACAAUAAGACUAUUAUGGGGGUUGACAGUACAUACAAAGAUGCGAGAUAUUAAAUGGAUGAAGAGGGUGUGGCCCCGGUUUUUCAAACAGGAGAAACCCAAGGCUUUUGCAAUCAUCAUUCCAGACUCAUGGCGUCGUUCACAAGGUGAUAUUAUUUUUCAAUACAUCUUGAGACGAAGAGUGGUUGGAAAGAGUUAAAGAACGUUCAAAAAUGCGUUGUAAGGGUACCAAAAGUGAAAAAAAGAAUCGAGUUGUGGGUGUUGACAACUUUCUUUGCAUCUUGACUCCAUAUUUUGUGGAUCUCGUCAACAAUUUGAGAUGGGCGUUAUUUGGAGUCGUGCUCGGAGAAUUAAAACUUGAGAGCCAUGCAGAGUGUUGAUUACUCCCAAACUUGAUUCUUUGCAUUGGAAGAAUUUAGUUCUCCAAUUAAACUCGAGGUCGAGUUCUUCUCAGUGGAGGAGAAUGAUGCGGAGCAAAAUUGUAUUUGUUUAUUAUUAAAUUGUGUUUAUAAUUUAUAAUUAGUUAUUUAAUUUCUAAUAGGGUUUUAGCUUGUGUUAGAAUAUUGGCCAUUGGGCCUGAUUAGUAGUAGCCAUUGGCUUGUUUAUUCGUUAGGGUUAUGUUAUUUUCUCUAUUUAAAGAGACCUGGUUUCAAUUGUUAGGUAAUUAUGAGUAUGAAUAAGAGAAAACAAUGGUUUUUCUUUUCUUCCAACCUUUGAAUCUGGCGGAAGCCAAACUUUUCCCUCCCUUUCUUCUGUGAUUCUGGCGGAAGCCGAACUUCCCCCACUCAUUCUCCCUUCUUGUUACGUUUAUCCUAUUUUGUUGAUAUCGAUUAAUCGUAGGGCACUAAUUUUAUUGUUGUCUUGCGUCAUAUACACAA
rnacentral:lncRNA from 1 species